rnacentral:rRNA from 1 species
ACGGGGUCAGCAGGCGCGAAAACUUUACACUACACGAAAGUGUGAUAAGGGAAUUCCAAGUGUGCUUAUACCAUAAGCACUUUUUCGGAGCGCAAAAAGCUCCGGGAAUAAGGGGUGGGCAAGACUAGUGCCAGCCGCCGCGGUAAAACUAGCAUCUCGAGUGGCAGUCACAAUUAUUGGGCUUAGAGCGUCCGUAGCUCGUUCGGAAAGUCUCUGGUGAAAUCCUACGGCUUAACCGUAGGGCGCGCCGGAGAAACUACCGAGCUAGAGGGCAGGAGAGGUCGGGGGUACGUCUGGGGUAGGGGUGAAAUCCUAUAAUCCUAGACGGACCAACAGUGGCGAAGGCGCCCGACAUGAAUGCGCCUGACAGUGAGGGACGAGAGCCAAGAGCGCGAAACGGAUUAGAUACCCGUGUAGUCUUGGCCGUAAACGAUGCUGACUAGGUGGGGUGUGACCUUAGUGGUCAUGCUAUGCCGAAGGGAAACCGUUAAGUCAGCCGCCUGGGGAGUACGUCCGCAAGGAUGAAACUUAAAGGAAUUGGCGGGGGAGCAC